rnacentral:rRNA from 1 species
AAUGAACGCUGGCGGCGCGCCUAAUACAUGCAAGUCGAGCGAGAAGACGUAGCAAUACGUUUGUAAAGCGGCGAACGGGUGAGGAAUACAUGGGUAACCUACCCUAGAGUGGGGAAUAACUAGCCGAAAGGUUAGCUAAUACCGCGUACGCUCCUUGGACUUCGGUUCAGGGAGGAAAGCGAUGCCGAGGGUAUCGCGCUCUUGGAUGGGCCCAUGUCCUAUCAGCUUGUUGGGAGGUACGCUCACAGCUCGACGGUAGCUGGUCUGAGGAGGACGAUCAGCCACACUGGCACU